CGCACGGGUGAGUAACACGUGAGUGACCUGCCUUUUAGACUGGAACAACUUACCGAAAGGUGAGCUAAUGCCGGAUGAGUUAUAUAAGUGCAUGUUUAUAUAGGAAAAGUUGGGGAGACCUGACGCUGAAAGAUGGGACUCGCGUCCCAUUAGCUAGUUGGUAGGGUAAUGGCCUACCAAGGCGACGAUGGGUAGCCGGCCUGAGAGGGUGGCCGGCCACACUGGGACUGAGACACGGCCCAGACUCCUACGGGAGGCAGCAG
rnacentral:rRNA from 1 species